rnacentral:rRNA from 1 species
UACGGGGGGAGCAAGCGUUGUUCGGAUUUACUGGGCGUAAAGGGCGCGUAGGCGGCCACCGCAAGUCGACUGUGAAAUCUCCGGGCUUAACCCGGAAAGGUCAGCAGAUACUGCGGGGCUAGAGUGCAGAAGGGGCAACUGGAAUUCUCGGUGUAGCGGUGAAAUGCGUAGAUAUCAAGAGGAACACCUGAGGUGAAGACGGGUUGCUGGGCCGACACUGACGCUGGAGCGCGAAAGCCAGGGGAGCAAACGGG